rnacentral:rRNA from 1 species
CGAUAUGCUUUGGGGAGCUGUAAGUAAGCUUUGAUCCAGAGAUUUCCGAAUGGGGAAACCCAGCAUGAGUUAUGUCAUGUUAUCGAUAUGUGAAUACAUAGCAUAUCAGAAGGCACACCCGGAGAACUGAAACAUCUUAGUACCCGGAGGAAGAGAAAGAAAAUUCGAUUCCCUUAGUAGCGGCGAGCGAAAUGGGAAGAGCCCAAACCAACAAGCUUGCUUGUUGGGGUUGUAGGACACUCUAUACGGAGUUACAAAGGACGACAUUAGACGAAUCAUCUGGAAAGAUGAAUCAAAGAAGGUAAUAAUCCUGUAGUCGAAAAUGUUGUCUCUCUUGAGUGGAUCCUGAGUACGACGGAGCACGUGAAAUUCCGUCGGAAUCUGGGAGGACCAUCUCCUAAGGCUAAAUACUCUCUAGUGACCGAUAGUGAACCAGUACCGUGAGGGAAAGGUGAAAAGCACCCCGGAAGGGGAGUGAAAUAGAACCUGAAACCGUGUGCUUACAAGUAGUCAGAGCCCGUUAAUGGGUGAUGGCGUGCCUUUUGUAGAAUGAACCGGCGAGUUACGAUUUGAUGCAAGGUUAAGCAGUAAAUGUGGAGCCGUAGCGAAAGCGAGUCUGAAUAGGGCGUUUAGUAUUUGGUCGUAGACCCGAAACCAGGUGAUCUACCCUUGGUCAGGUUGAAGUUCAGGUAACACUGAAUGGAGGACCGAACCGACUUACGUUGAAAAGUGAGCGGAUGAACUGAGGGUAGCGGAGAAAUUCCAAUCGAACCUGGAGAUAGCUGGUUCUCUCCGAAAUAGCUUUAGGGCUAGCCUCAAGUGAUGAUUAUUGGAGGUAGAGCACUGUUUGGACGAGGGGCCCCUCUCGGGUUACCGAAUUCAGACAAACUCCGAAUGCCAAUUAAUUUAACUUGGGAGUCAGAACAUGGGUGAUAAGGUCCGUGUUCGAAAGGGAAACAGCCCAGACCACCAGCUAAGGUCCCAAAAUAUAUGUUAAGUGGAAAAGGAUGUGGCGUUGCCCAGACAACUAGGAUGUUGGCUUAGAAGCAGCCAUCAUUUAAAGAGUGCGUAAUAGCUCACUAGUCGAGUGACACUGCGCCGAAAAUGUACCGGGGCUAAACAUAUUACCGAAGCUGUGGAUUGUCCUUUGGACAAUGGUAGGAGAGCGUUCUAAGGGCGUUGAAGCAUGAUCGUAAGGACAUGUGGAGCGCUUAGAAGUGAGAAUGCCGGUGUGAGUAGCGAAAGACGGGUGAGAAUCCCGUCCACCGAUUGACUAAGGUUUCCAGAGGAAGGCUCGUCCGCUCUGGGUUAGUCGGGUCCUAAGCUGAGGCCGACAGGCGUAGGCGAUGGAUAACAGGUUGAUAUUCCUGUACCACCUAUAAUCGUUUUA